rnacentral:rRNA from 1 species
UACGUAGGUGGCAAGCGUUGUCCGGAUUUAUUGGGCUUAAAGGGUGCGUAGGCGGUCUUAUAAGUCAGUGCUGAAAUAUCCCGGCUUAACCGGGAGGGUGGCAUUGAUACUGUAGGACUUGAGUAAAGUUGAGGUUGGCGGAAUUGACGGUGUAGCGGUGAAAUGCUUAGAUAUCGUCAAGAACACCUAUAGCGAAGGCAGCUAACUGAGCUUUAACUGACGCUGAGGCACGAAAGUGUGGGGAUCAAACAGG